UGCCAGCCGCCGCGGUAAUACGGAGGGGGUUAGCGUUGUUCGGAAUUACUGGGCGUAAAGCGUACGUAGGCGGACUAGUCAGUCAGAGGUGAAAUCCCAGGGCUCAACCCUGGAACUGCCUUUGAUACUGCUAGUCUUGAGUUCGAGAGAGGUGAGUGGAAUUCCGAGUGUAGAGGUGAAAUUCGUAGAUAUUCGGAGGAACACCAGUGGCGAAGGCGGCUCACUGGCACAUUUCUGACGCUGAGGCGCGAAAGCGUGGGGAGCAAACAGGAUUAGAUA
rnacentral:rRNA from 1 species